rnacentral:lncRNA from 7 species
GCAGGCGAGUAAAGGUCUCUUCUAGCAAAAACAACAAAGAAAGCCCAAACUCAGGAGGCAGAAUCCACUGAAGAUGCUGAAAAUCUGAAGCUGUGAAUGAAAGAGAAGACUGUUUACCAGGCAAUAUGGGAGCUCUCAGUUUGCAGUGGUAAAAAUCCUCUGGUCUUGGUGAUUUCUCCAUGAAACCAAUGUCAAGAGUCGCGGUGACAAGGCUGGGGAGAGGAUUAGGGACAACGAAGGGCAGGAAAGAAGGGAAGGUCCAGGAGAAGGUAAAUACCUCAGCACUUUACAAGGUCCCUCGACCUCACUGCAAAUCUUUAAUUUAAAAAGUCUUUUUGUAAGUUGGACUAGCGCUGUAUCAGUCAUCCCCUUCCACGGCAGCAGUGUGCUCGAUCCAUACAAGGUGGCAGGUAGAGGAGAAGCAGGGACCCUACCUUGGCCAAUACCCAGAUCAGGCUACCUCAUUCUGUGAGUGGAGGUGGGUUGGGCAGGCAGAGAUAGCAGCCAUGGUGCUCUUGCUGGGCACUCCCUACAGGGAUAUCCUGAAUUGUUUCCAGCUGGGAGAAGAGUGAAUAGAACCAGCAAUUCAGUUGCAAGAUGGCAAAUAGAAAUUGAAAGAUGGAAACCCCAAACUAAGCAAACACAUGGAUUAGUGCAUGGGGUUAAAAAAAAAUAAAAAAAAAAAAUCAAUUCAGCAAGCAUCACCAGAGGAUUUGUUUUCUGCAGUAAUAUUAACAGAGAUUAAAAUAAGCUGGUUUAAAUAAUAGUAACAGCAAAAUCUCUAUCAAAAUGUCUUUCCUCUGAGAUCUAGCCCCAUCCACCUCUAAUAGCCACACUUCUGCCAGAGUGAACUGUGUGUCAGCACCUUCUGGGGACAAGCCUGCCGAUAAGGCUCAAGUGUUGAGCUGAGUGUAGGAGCACUGCCCUGGUUGUAAUGUUCUGGAGGGUGGUGUUUCUGCUUGUGCCAAGAGUGCCAGCAUGGGCAACCACAGUGGUUUCUCUGCCUCAGUCAUGAUACAGACUCGCAAACCAUGGAUGGAUGACAACAUUGCACCAAACACAGCUGUCACACAUAAAUCACAGGAGGCACACUGCACUAUUUCAAAACAUGGCUUUAAGACCCCAUACAGUCUUUGCCCAGGAAGGUUACAUGCGUCCUUAACCUCUACCUGAGAAAACUUUGCCUUCUUCCUGCUUGACAGAAGGGACAGAGGGAGCAGUAGUGCUUGCUGAAGGCUGAAUCAUUGUCAGUUUGCCUGUUCAAAAAUCCUUAAUUUCUACUGAAACAAUGUGUGGAAAGUAGCACUUUGUUAAGACAAGGUGGGCAGGGGAGAGGUUAUCUAGUGUAUUUACUUAUUUAUUUUUGUUCAGCUAUAAGCCUAUCUAUACAAAGCUCUCAUGCAAGAAAUUGCCUCCCAGUUUAGCUGAAAAUUCAAAGGACACUUUUGU